CCUACGGGAGGCAGCAGUGGGGAAUUUUGGACAAUGGGCGCAAGCCUGAUCCAGCAAUGCCGCGUGAGUGAAGAAGGCCUUCGGGUUGUAAAGCUCUUUUGUCAGGGAAGAAACGGUGUUUUCUAAUACAGAGCGCUAAUGACGGUACCUGAAGAAUAAGCACCGGCUAACUACGUGCAAGCAGCCGCGGUAAUACGUAGGGUGCAAGCGUUAAUCGGAAUUACUGGGCGUAAAGCGUGCGCAGGCGGUUUUGUAAGUUUGUCGUGAAAUCCCCGGGCUCAACCUGGGAAUGGCGAUGAAGACUGCAAGGCUAGAGUUUGGCAGAGGGGGGUAGAAUUCCACGUGUAGCAGUGAAAUGCGUAGAUAUGUGGAGGAACACCGAUGGCGAAGGCAGCCCCCUGGGUCAAACUGACGCUCAUGCACGAAAGCGUGGGGAGCAAACAGGAUUAGAUACCCUGGUAGUCCACGCCCUAAACGAUGUCUACUAGUUGUCGGGUCUUAAUUGACUUGGUAACGCAGCUAACGCGUGAAGUAGACCGCCUGGGGAGUACGGUCGCAAGAUUAAAACUCAAAGGAAUUGACGG
rnacentral:rRNA from 1 species